ACCCAGCUGAUGUUUCCCAAAUAGGACGAAACGCGCGUCAUACUGGAU
rfam:Schistosoma rodhaini strain Burundi genome assembly, scaffold: SROB_scaffold0006826